UCACGGGAUUUGUAGUCCUACACAGUGAGAGCGGCGGUGGGUUUUGAAAACAGAGUUCUAACGGCUGCCAGGAAAGGGUUGCGCACGCGCACAACAAAAGGAAGCCUGACGUCCCGCUCCCUCUGAGGAUGGUGUCUCCCAGAGGCAGGGCAGCCCUCUCAGGGUGGAGCCUGUGCUGUUGUGGUGCAGUGCUAGGUGACCUCUCCCCUGGGACGAGAGCCCUGGGCCGGCCGGCCUCUUAGAGUCACGGUAGCCGAAAGUGUACAGUUACUUCAAGCUGACAAAGACUGGACCAUUUAUUGAGGCCACAUUGUCUUUACCCAAAAAGAUAAAAAAUCCAGGAAUGUGAAUAUCUUAUCUUCUCAAUUUUUCCCUUAAGUUACAUGAAUGCCUAGAAUCUUCAGUGUGGCCCAUGAGUCUUUUACGGUAUGUAGAGAAGCGUUUCUGGAUUCUGCGAAGAACUUUGUACCCUCGACUGGCAAGUCUUAUACUGUUGAUAGGUCUUCACUCAGAAAUCUGGAGAGCUGAAGUGAAGCAGCUCGCCUUCUUACCAAGGCCAAGGACCUGGCUGCCAUGUUCGUGGAGUCCAGCGCAGCCUAUAAAGCUGUUAUAAAGAUUAAUGGCCCUUCACUGAUAUUUGACUUAAACUGCUCUCUUUUGUUAUCAGGAAGGGACUCAAUAAAAGUUUCUAAUUGGUCAAAAUGUAGUCUGUGUACUUCGCUAGUAAUGCCACAUA